rnacentral:rRNA from 1 species
AACGUAGGAGGCGAGCGUUAUCCGGAUUUACUGGGUGUAAAGCGCGUGCAGGCGGACGAGGAAGUUGGAUGUAAAAGCUCCCGGCUUAACUGGGAGAGGUCGUUCAAAACUCCUGGUCUAGAGGGUGAUAGAGGGAGGUGGAAUUCCGGGUGUAGUGGUGAAAUGCGUAGAUAUCCGGAGGAACACCAGUGGCGAAAGCGGCCUCCUGGCUCACACCUGACGCUCAGACGCGAAAGCUAGGGUAGCAAACGGG